CCUACGGGAGGCAGCAGUGAGGAAUAUUGGUCAAUGGGCGCAAGCCUGAACCAGCCAAGUCGCGUGAGGGAAGACGGCCCUACGGGUUGUAAACCUCUUUUGCCGGGGAGCAAGCCGGAGCACGUGUGCCCAGUCGCAGAGUACCCGGCGAAAAAGCAUCGGCUAACUCCGUGCAAGCAGCCGCGGUAAUACGGAGGAUACGAGCGUUAUCCGUAUGUAUUGGGUUUAAGGGGUGCGCAGGCGGGCUGUUAAGCCGGCGUUAAAAAGUCAGGGCUCAACCCUGUCGAGCCGCCGGAACUGGCAGUCUUGAGUGGGCGAGAGGUAGGCGGAAUGCGUGGUGUAGCGGUGAAAUGCAUAGAUAUCACGAAGAACGCCGAUUGCGAAGGCAGCAUACCGGAGCCCAACUGACGCUGAGGCACGAAGGCGUGGGGAUCGAACAGGAUUAGAUACCCGGGUAGUC
rnacentral:rRNA from 1 species